UCAGCAGCAAGCGGUUAAAGUAAGUUCAGAAUGAGGGCAGGAAGUGGAGUUAUGCUUCAGUACUUAGAACACUUCAUCAAAAUGCUGUCAAAAAGCUAUUCCUCAACUCUCAAAGAAGAAAGAGAAGCAAUAUUUAAGACAGGAAGAACAGCUAAAUGUGGAGAUGAUCAGAGCUAAACAAUGCAAAUUCUGUUGUGAGAUGUUUCUUCCCAGUUGGAGAAAAGAUUUCAAAGCAAAGCCCAAGAGAUUAGUGGCUGAGUGCUUGUCCUAGAGAGGAAAUGUCAUCUCUGACCCUGAAAGCAUUCCCAGCUUCAAGCAUUGUGAGGAACCUGCUUACAGGAGGAACACACUUACAAGAAGAUCUAUCUGAACAUUAGCUAUAGUAGGAAAUAAAUCUGUGACUCUAUGACUCCAGGGAGACAAGCUGUUAACCGCCAGGUCAGUGCUGCAGACUAUAUGGUUUGAGAUAACACUCAAGUUUAUAAGGAGAACAUUUGUAUGGAUUUAGGUUAGCAAGUGCAAAAUGCAUUUCCUUUUAAUCUUUGCUCACAGAAACAGUAGAGUCUCUUAAGAAUGAAAGAUAAAAAGCAUCCUGAGGAAGAAGAACAGAGAAAUAUUCAGCUCAGAGGGCUGAAACUGUGAGCAGCUGAGAUGAGGAUCCAGUGUGAGAAGGGUUCAAAAAGUUUUAUCAUAUUGGGGACAGUUUUACUUAUGUUUUACCAAGAUGGGACCAAGAAAAAAUGUUUACUCUCUGCCAGGUUUAAGUGAUAUCCUGAACUAGUGAGAGUUUGCUUGAUUUACUUUCAAAAUAGUUUAAAUCUCUCUCAGAAAUGGUAUGGUGUGCCUUUCCAGAAAAGGUAUGAUAUUAUAUACCUGUAUAUGUACAUAUAUGUAUGUAUGGGUAAAUAAAUAUGCUGUUUGUGUUUUGUUUUAAGCAGGGGGAUAUUUACUGCAGGUAAAUAGAAAUUAGAUCAAAGCUUUCUCCCAAGACUUCAUUAUAAUUUUUGUUGUAUUUGCUUUAGGCGGAGCUGCUCUGCCAACCGUUGAUGCUACAGUGAUCAGUCAACCCACAGUGAAGUCAGCUUCUGACCUUUCUUGAAAUGACUUGUUUUCUAUGCAGUAACCAUGUGUAUCUCCAGGAGUCAUCUCUUCCACUGCUUGUGGAUAGUGGUGACGUGGAGUGACAGGUGGCAGGGACAGACUGUACGCUCUGGACAAGGCUCCCACUGCCUUGUGAUGCUGUUGCCUCCUCCUUUCCUGUAACCAUGUUUCUUUCCUUCCAGGCUGUCCUGUUAGUUGCCCACCUUGAACCUCAAAUGAAAUGCAAGUGACUCAGCAGUAAGGUAGCCUCAAGCAUGAAUGUAAAGUGCAAUUAGGGAGGUCAAUAUCUUGAGCUAGUAUAGCUGCAACCAGAAAAGCUUAAAUGAUCAAAUUCUGCAAUUUCUUUCAAGGGCUGAAAUAUUGUUUUUUUAGGAAGAAAAUAACUGAAGUGUUAAAACAAAGUAUACUACUGAAAAGUAUCAAAAGAAGAAUUAACUACUACAGUACUGCUGUCUAGUGCUGCAGUGCAGUAAUGGACCUGAAAGACUCAUUCUGAUCUUGUUGUUCAUCCCUGUGUACCUAGUAGCAUUUCUAAGACUGCAUACACUUGGCAAAUGUAGAGGAGGAAUGUUUGGCUAUCUCUGAGGCAUAAAUAAUAAAAGUGUCUGUUUCCAGGCAAAAGUUAGGCAUGAAAAAUUAAUCUACAAAGUGCCAAAUCAAUCAACAACUUGGCUUGAACUAUUCAUGCUAAAAAAUACAUAACUAAUAAGAAAUAAAGCAUUGCGUUCCCUAUAAUUCUUUUUUUUUUCAUGUAUGUUCUUUUCCACAGAAUCCUCCAGCUGCCUGCUUAGGCUGCCAUAGUGUCCACUUCUUAUCCCACUUUUUCCCCUUCAGUCAGAAAAUUAAUCACAGCUAUGCCAUUUCAAGAAACAAAUCUUUACUGAAUAGUCUUAGUUAGAGACUGCUAGAACUCUGCUCCAGAGAGCAGUUGUGUAGUAUUAUCACAAAGCAAGGAUAGGGUGCAGAGAUUACCCAAAAUGAGGCCAAAUAGGCUUGCUGACCCUUUGCUGAGAAGAGGAGAGCCUGAAGCCCCAGGGCAGAGGCUGGUUAAGAGGCAGUAAGGAAGAGAGAUCUCUAACAUGGUGAAGUAGGGGAAGAGAAAUAAUCUAAAAGAAUUUUGCUUUGACUGGAUUUAGAAGCUUCUAAAAUCAAAACCUUAAACAAAAUACACACUAUGAAUUGGUAACAUAAGAUCUUUUUCUCUUCAACAGAGUAUAUCAGAAAUAACUCUGCUUACAGUGAAGAUGAAUGACUUGCUUAUAAAGAUCUAGAAAUAUAAAAAAAUCAUUAAAAUGCUAUAAUGUAACUUUUAAAAUAUUAGCAAAUAGACCUCUUUGAUGCUUGUAAUCCACGCUUCAGUGCAGAGAGAAAUUUUACAGCCCAGUCACAAACUUAUGGAAAUAAAUUUCAUUAUAUAAAUUCUAAGAGAGCUAUAGCUAUACCAGGGCAAACAAGAUACUUCAAUAAAAAUUGCCUGAGAAUUGGAGCUGAAAUUUACUGCAAGAAGUAGGUCGGUUUGACAGCGCAAGUACGUUGCAGGACAAAAGGAGUGAGACAGAUGAGAAGUGCUUAGCAUUAGAGAAGGUCCAAGGGGAAAGUAGAGUUAGAUAACUAGUUUUCAAUAUAGUUUUAAUAAAACGAAUGGUUCUAAAUCUCUGCAGAAUGAUUUUGAAUGUAGAGUGUCCUCUGACUGUUAAGUAGUUAGUGUGAGUAGCAAAUUGCAUAUAGGUUGUACUGACACCAAUGAGCCCUGCUGCUUUUUAAGCUAGAAGGAAGUAGAAUUCAGUAAUUACUCAAGUACAAGGGAAUCUGAUGUGAGGGCUUUAGGACAUCUUUGUCCAACAUGGUUUGAAUCUAGUCCCUACUCCCAGGAGAAUGCAACAGAAACAGGAGGCAGCAUUUUCUUUUAGGUCCAGUAGGGAAAAAAGAUGAAAUAUGAGGGACAGGAGGAACCCUGAUGCAAAGAGUUUUCUACUAGAAUUUGUGGUUAAGUUUUAUAACCACACUUUAUAAAGGGCUCACCUAUAAAAUCUAUUAUCAACAUGUAUCAACUAGGAAAAAUUGCAAUGGCAACAGUAAAUGGCUCCUUAAAUAUGACAUCAUGCUGAUUCAUGCAUGUAAAUGACUGCAGAACCUAAUCAAAAUAUGCUCUUUCCACUCACAGAGCGGAGCUUAAACUCUUAAGCCUUUCCAGAUCACUGAAGUGAUUCUUAACAUCGUGACCAACUUCUGAAGUUCUUCUCAGUCUCCAUUACUUAUGAAUUUCCCUAGUUCUCCCCCUCCUUCCCCUCCUCCAUCUUGACUAGAUAGUAAGCACACCCCAUUUGUCCCAGAUGAGUAGCAGAAUGUGAAAACUAAUAAUUCCAGUCAGUGAUGCUGGCAGAGUAAUUAUGUCUUGAUUCAUAUGUUCUGAGAAAACUCAAGUGCACCUGAAGAAGCUGAGCUGCAGCAGUUAAUCUACCGUGUGCGGUGACUAAUUUCCUUGCAGAACUAUAAGUAAAAUAAAAAUCUUGCACUAGGAGCUUAAUGAGAGGAUCUUUGCUUUUGCCAAAAUAUUGACCUCAAUGGAGGUGUAAAGCAUGAAUGAAGAAAUUAGAUUGCUUUCUUUCAGGACCCUGGCUUACAGGAAAACCAAUUGAUAACCAAGUCUUGUCAAUGGAUCUUAAUUGGAAGAUGAGAUAAAUUAGAGAAGAAAUGAAUGUUUUCACUUCACUUGGCCUGAGAUUUAUUCUCUAAUUUUGAAUCAGUGUAAGGCAUCUGUGGGAGCACCCUGAAUGGCCUUUGUGAGUCUCUUUUUGUUAAUUAGUAGUUAAUGUGAGUAAGAUAACUGGCUUGUAGUGACUGAAAUAGGUGAUGAAGUAUUCAUCAAAGCAACUUCAGUUAGCAUCUGUAUGAGAUCUGUAGUCCCAAGGAGAGAGGACGUUGUGUGUAUUUGGAGUAACUCCUAUUUGAACUAGGAGUUACCAUUUUAGACCAGCACAGUAUGGGUUAGGAAAAGAAUAUAUUUGUACUUCUAUGAACUCAUCUGUGUGAAUAAUUUAUUUGAGCUUGUCCUUUUCACCCAGGUCUUUGGCUACACUUGCAUAAGAUGGAGCAAGUUAAUAAGCCCCAGAGAGUGAGUAGCUUUGGUGUACUUAAAGCAUUAACUUCUCCUGACUGCCAGCACUGAUGAGUCAUAUGCAGAUUUCUCCUGAGCGGGUCAUGUUGAAAAUAAAAUCAGCUUUGUGCCAGUGAGAUAUUGUUUUGCAAUGAGGAGAUCUCUCGGUAGAGAAAUUGAUAGCUUUAAAUUGAUAGGGGAUCAAUAUUGCAUAUUUAGACGUGUCGUGUGUAUGGGGAGAAGGGUUUACUCUUUUAGUCUUUCAGUAAUACUAGCUGUUAUAUAGAGUUUGACGAAAACAUAUGCAUAUUUAAAUUCAAAUUUCGAUUCAGGACUGGGAGAAGAACAACUUACUCAAUUGCUGAAGCUUUGUCCCAUUUUAUUUGGUUUUAGAUCAGUUAUAAUAAAAAUUUAAUAUCUUUUACUCUUAACCUCUUUUAUUCACUGCAUGCAUCAGUGAUCCAGAAGACCAUGAGGUAGUUAUGCAGCAUCUUGAAUGCACGAAAUCUGUCACUGCUGCUCUGGAAAUCGAACAUCCCUCAUAAAGAAAGAACACAGGCUAAGUAUAAUAAACUCUUUUGUUUCAAAAGCUAACUACAUGAUUCAUAAAAUAAAGAAGUGUUUUAUGUCCUGUAGAUGACAUACUCACAUAAAAGUUUUCCCCAUGGUAUCUCCGUAGAUCUUAUCUGUCUGCAUUCCCCCCUCUUUUAAAACUGUGAAUGCUGUUUUUAAUAGUUACAGAAAGAGACUGCCUGGUUGACUGUGUUGUCUGCUGUUUAAAAAGAGAACCUUUUCCAAGGAUGUGUUCAGGUAGGAGAGUAAAGGAUACCACUGUGUACUUAAGAGUCCAUGUUUCCCACUCUGUGCUUCGUGAUGCACCACAGAUACUUUAUGACACAGCAUUUUAAAGGGCUGGCAGUCUGUAAUUAAAACUAUGCCUCUUUGCAUCUGAAAUCCAAUAAGAGGUAUGACUAGAAUCUUCUUGGACUUUUUUGCGUAUUCAUUUUGACUUUAUAGCUGCAUUUAUGGUACUUGCUGUCUUGCUUUUUCACUAAAAUCAUGAAGAGUAUCUAUGUUCUGAAUGGUGGUAUGAAUAUAUUCAUAAAGAUUUCAUGCAUCCAUGAAAUAUGAGUAAGCUAUAUGUUAUAUGGGGAUGUAUUAGCUCUUGUCUCCUCCAGCUAAGAAUCAAAGUCUUGAUGAAAAUAAUAAAAUGUACAUGUUUUAUGAUCUGAAUCCUCGGGCUGAAUGAACACAAGACUGAAAUACUCAACUCUUUUUUCAACACAACAGACGCUAUUCAUGUACUUCUGAGAAUUUCCUAGUUCAGGCUCAGCUGUUGACCUGUAUCAGGCCUUCUUGUAACCUUCUUUAAUCCUGCUUCAAGUAAAAUUUAAUAUUCUGCAGACUUGUACUCUUCAGAGUUUAGUUCCUUCCUUGCAACAUAUCUGUGCUUGAUGCAAAAAAUAGUUGACAUAUAAUUCCUCACAGUCAGAAUCUAUUGUUGUUCCCAUUUAUUUUUUAUUUAGCUUUAAGCGCACGCUAUGGUAGAUGUUACAAAAUGCAUGCUGUUCUGCCUUUAUUUACAUAGUGUUCAUGAAAACAGAAUAAGCAACAAUCUCAAUGUUUUUCAAUAAUUCAGCUGUGGCCUUUACAGUCUUUUUCUCUGCCCAAAUUGGCCUCUUUUUUUUUUUUUUUCCAGUAGGAGUGUGAUUAUUCCAACAAUAAAAAUAAUGAUAUAGUAAAAGAAAUACCACAAAACCUCCCUUUCAAAAAUACCCAAAUACACGAGAUAGAACAAGCUUUCCUAAUCAUUUCUUCUGUGUUUGCAAGUGGUGAUAAUGCUUAGAUGAGAGAUGUACUUUAUCAUUAUGUAAAGAUAUGAAAUUAACAUAGAAGCUUAUGACAUACAUUAUCGUUUUCUAUUCAAGUUGUCUGACUCAUGAAGGAGAAUUUUUCAGAUAAAAUCAGGUGGGCUGUGAUGCUUAACUCUCUCUCUGUGUUGUUCUUUCACAACCUGGCUGUGUUGCAUGGCUGCUUGAAGCCCCAGGAGGUGGCUGGAUGAUUUUACUUAUUUGCUUUUCUGGGACAAAAGAGAAAUACAAAGUGAGAUAUUCUGCUCACCUACUGUACUGUAUUUUCUUUUGGAUUUCAUGGUUCAGUAGUUCUUCUCUGGAAUAUUCUAAUGAGGGAAGACAUAAUAAGUCACAUGGGCCUUCUUUAAUACAGAUGGCUAAUGAAAAUGCAGGAAAAUAUCAAAGACAUGCCAAGCUGUAUUGCUUUGAAAUUCUGAUCCUUCUGCUUUCUAUCUUGUACAUGUUUUGGCUAUUAUUCUCAUGUUUAGUAGCUGAAUCACGGGUUAUUGCUAAGACUCAGUGUUCCAUUAAGCUUAAAGAAAAGGCGCUCUAAUAACCUACAGCCUUGAUGGCUGCUCAGUGGCAUCACAAACUCCGUUGUUCUGAAGAACAGGAUGGCUUAUCUCAGAUAUAAGCAAAUAAAUUCCUCCCCUACCUACCCCCAGCAGAUUAAGAUGCAAAUGGAAUACGUAAUUUACAGAGAACAAUUUCCUUUCCUGCUGGCCUAAGUUUUUUUUUUUUUUCUUUCUUCCAGAAUCACCUUCUUCUUGCUGCUUCUUGCCUUUUCUUAUGGGCUACAAACCAUUCAUUAGAAGGUGCUAUUACACUGUACUCAAAUUCUAAACCCAUUACCCUGAGGUUUCACAGAAUGGUUGAAGGAGAGAACUGGGAACCUUUCCAGGAGAUCUGAAAACAGGUUUAGUAUUUUGAUGCCUUGUGUGUCGGAGCUUCUACUAGUUUAAGAUGUUUUGCCUGGGUAUAACUUAGAACUGCAUGGGAGAGUGGUAUAUUUACAGCUAAAUUUUACAUCUUAUUGCAUUUUCACAAAAUAAGUGUGUCCUUGAAAGUAGUGGGAUGAAUUAUGGUAAGGUUUUCCUUCUGGUUGUUUAACUCCUUUUGCCAUAGCCAGAACUUUUUCUUGAAGCUUACUAAUAGCAAUUCAAUUUUGCAAAUAAUACUUAAGCUGAUAAAAAAAAAUUCUGCAGGUGACUAGGUAUGGUGGAAGAUCGAUUUAUUCCCCAUGUCAGAGAAAAUUCAUGGACAGUGCUGUUCUGUGUCCAGGCAGCUUUACUUAUAAUCUUGUAUGUAUGCAGGCUUUUGAAUUUUUUCGAGACAGUGCUUUGAUAUUUCCACUGACAUCUUAAAAAUAAGCCUGACAUUUUGCCAUCAAGAAGUAUAGGAGGAAGGAAUUAGAAAUUGAAUAAAAGAUCACCGGUGAAUGAAGGCUUAUAUACAUAUCAAACAGCCAGCAGCUCAUUGCUCAUAAAAUAUAGAAACUCUCAUUGCCAUUGAGAAAACACUUUGAAUGAAACAGCCAUUCCACCACUGAGAUCUCAAUCUCCAGCUUACAGGACCUACAAAACAUCUUCAAAUGAUGUUUUGGAAUAUGGAAGUUCAGCUUUAUGACUGCCCUGCUCAUAACUGGAAGAGUGAGAAGAUAUGGGUAUAAAAUAUUUCUGGGAAAGCUCGUGUGUACUGUACCAAGUAGUGUUAAGUGUGCAGUGCAUAGCACUGCAGUACUUGUUGACACCCAGGAGGUAGCGGCUGCAAUAUGGGUUGGAUCUUUUAUAUGAGUUUUGCUUGGAAGUAAUAUACCAGUGGAUCUGUGAGUUCAGAGAAAUUGUCCUGUAAUUAACCUGAAAGCUGUUGCUUCUAUUUGUCCUGAAGAGAAGCUUGUGUGCCUGAUAACUUUCCUGAAAGCUUGUCUGUUUGUUGCAGUUAAAUCAGGUGGCGUAACAAAAAGACCAAUUUUCCUUAAAAGAUGAAGAUUCAUUAUGGCAUUUUGCUUUUUCUGCAGUUCUAAAAACGUUCAUCCAGUGUUUUGUUGUUGUUUUCAUUUUUUGUUAAUCAAACUGAACACAUCCAGUUCUGUUCAUGGCAUCCACAGUGACAGCCACGCAAACCAUCUGCAGGUUUGGAUCCUUUCUAUCCACCACGUAGGCUGUCCAAGUCAAUCUGCAUGCAUUUCCCAGAAGUAGGACUAUUUUUAAACAUUUAAAUUAUUUUGCUAAUACCAAGCAAAUGAAUUUGUUGUGCAGAGGGAAAUUAUGUAUUUUUCCUCUACUUAGUGAUUUGCUUGUGAGCAGUUAAGAAUUCAUUGACUCCAAGGAUGAUAGUAUACCAUACAGAGUAAUUAAAUAUUACUGGAACAUCUGUGUCACACCUUCAAAACAAAACUCUUAUCUCUGCUCAAUUCCUAGAUGCAAAGUCCCAGCAGGGGGCUCCCAGGUAACACUGAGAAAUCUAUAGGAGAUGCUGCAUGUACUAGUUGCACACGCUUGCCUGAUAGCUGUGUAUUUUAAAACUUUAUAUAUAUACAUAUAUUUUUAAUAUCUUUGUAUUUUUUUAAAAAGCAUUUUAGUUAAGGCAGUUGCUAUAUUCUUUUGGCUCAUCCUAGUGUUCUAGAGGAAAUUGCUGUCCCUUGGAUUCAAAGGCAGACAGGGAAGGCGACGCUGUCUGGCUCAGACCUUUUGAAAAUCAAUCUGAGUGAGGUCUUGUGCCAAUUUAGAUUUAACUAUCUAAGAUCCAGGAUUUUUUCUCCAUUUUAGUAAGUUUUUGCAAGCUGGUUAAAUGUACACUCUAUCAAGAAGCAGCAGCAAUUAUUGUAUUAAGAAGAGAAUUAGCAGUCUCAAGUGAAGAAAUGAUUAAUAAUGGAUCCACAAUCCUACAGUGUGGUAUCCCCCCAAUAAAUAAAUAAAAACCAGCUAAUUUUAGAACUGUUUAAUGUAUUUUUUUUGGAGAGCAUGUAAUAAGACAGUUAGGCCAGUAGUCACCUUUAUUUCAAAUGAUACCUACUGGGGUAUCUUAGGAUACAAUCUGUGACUUUCUUUCUCCUCCUAUUUGAGAAAAUAUCUGACUAGAUGAUUGUCAGAAGUAUUUCUUUAGGAAGAUUUCUUAAAGUAAUACUCUUGUAGAGUAGUUUAUUAGCUACAAAAUUGAAAUGGAGGUGUUUUAUCUUCAUAGGACUGCAAAGGUGUGUUCCAAAGAUACUUUGUGAUCAAAGAAAAUUAUGAAAAAAUGGUGAAAUAUUAUUUGAAUUAAUUUGAAUAAAUAUGUGAAGUCUUUUUGUUUCUUGAUUACCACUGAGAAUACCUUAAGCUAAUAAAUACAGCAUGAGGGUGUCUAAAUACUUCUAUUUGGAGAGCUCUUAGGCCUUUAAAAAUGCUUGCAUAUUUGCUCCAAAUUUACAGAAAAAUCACAGAGAGAUGGGCUUAAUUUGUAAAAAGAUUUUUCGCCAGACCUGAGGACAGAUUUAAAACAUCCUACAUCAGUUACGUCACCCAAUAGAAUGAAAAAAGUUAAGAUUUCUAUAGCAUACUUGCCCUGCAGAUUCUUCAUUUACACAAGCAUAUUAGUAAACAGAGCUGGAAACAGGACACAGAUCUCAUGAUUUAUGCUUCCAAUAAAACCACUUGAUCACGAUGUCUCGCAUAGUUUACAAAUCCAUUCAUUGAAAGAUUAUGAAAAGUAUUGCAUUUGUAAUCUCUUUUGGCUGUACGCUCAGAUGUGGUUUUCAGAGGCUAUACUAAAAGAGCCAUCAGCAACACAAGUCUGAUCAUCACAUAGUUAAAUUGGAAGGCCUGGAAGGUGCCAAAGACUCUGAACUUCACCACAUUUCUUCUGCCUGUUCUGUGAUACAUCGGAGAUGUCAGCAUACCCUCAGUGGGUAACUUAUCUUCUAGAUGAUAUAAACUUUUCAUUAUGAUCUAUAGAAAUGAUGGUUCUACAAGAACGAAUAUGUAUCUUCUUGGAAAAUGAUCACUGCCUUUUUGGACCAAGCCUGUUUCUACUUCCCUGUUUUAAAAAAAUUGGUCUUUGGCAUUUUCACAUGGAAAGUGCUGUUGGUAGUUACGUCAGUGGCUGUGAGUUGCUCUGACCUGUGAUUAGACAACCAAUGUGAAAUUAGGCACUCUGAGGGGUGGGCAAUGCUCUACCAGAACUCAGGUGGAUGCUGUUUCCUCAUAAUUUACCUAUAGGUGAAGAAAUAGUUUGCAGCUGGCUUGGAGCCCUGGGUAGUCACUCUUGGCUCCGCUAAUUCUGAUGCUUCUAGAUUCUUCUCUGAAAGAUGAUUUGUGGUUGUAUUUGUAAUUCAAUCAAAUGUAACCCAAAACAGCAUAAGUUGCAUAUGAAGUAUUUAUAUCCUUGUGUCUGUGAAGGAUGGUUUCUGAAUUGAAGAAAAUGUGAUCAGACCUGCAUUUUAAGUGACUGGUUUAGCAAGACAGUUUGGCUGGACAUAAGAAGCUAUAACAGAUUCAAAGAGCAAGUUACCAUUAUUUCCAAUGCACUGAAGCUGGUAUUCAACUUUGGACACAGUUCUCUGGUCAUCAUACACUGAUUUGUGCAGAUCGUUUGAUCAAUAUAUUUCACUGAGCAUCUGAUACACUUUUAUCAUUGAUUCUGUGAAUGCAAAUUUCAGUGAGGCUGCCUGGGUGCAUCAAGACUACAAAGAAACUGAGAACUUGCACUGCCUGCUAUCAAGGUAUUAGAUCAUUGCUUGUUAAGGAAAGAAACGUAUUGUUGCUUGAUGUUUAUACUACACUUUGGAAAACCAUACCUCCCACCCUCACAAAACCUAGACGUUCUGAGGAGAAUUUUUUUUCUUUUUUAAGUACUGUUGUCAAUCUAGGUCUAUUCUAUGCCUUUCUGUCUAGGCCAAAGACUCGUUCACCAUUUGUUUUCCUCCAUUUCUGCAUCAUUUUAAAAUGCUAUAAUUGUAUCCAUAGAACUAGAUAUUAAUGAUGAAAUUUAAUCCAAAGUAUCUCUCAAAGCACAGGCCAAUUUUAGCAAACCCAUAACCAAAAACCAGCUGAGUAUCUUCCUGCUCUCUGCCAGAAGUCCCUUUUCUCAUCUGCUAUGCAGGUGUUAGGUUUGCUCAUAUCCAUGUCAACGAAUAGGAUACAUGGUGAGCCCUUACACUGCUGCCCCAUCAUGCAAAUCUCGUGAAUCAGAACAAAGGCUAUUGAGUAUAAAAAAUAACAUGUAUAUAACUUUACAACUGUCUACUGGGCAUAUGCAGUGGGAAAUCCAACCCUGAGAAAAUGAACUGGCUUGCUGACAUUAAAAACAUGUGUUUACUUCUGUUCUUGUAACAUAUUUUCCCUCAGACUUGCACACAAAUUCAUCUGUGGCACUGAUGUGGAAAGCCAUAUAAAAGUAGCCUAUCUACUAGCAGUCAUGCUGUGGAAAAUAUACUACCUCCCCAGGAAUUUGUGUGUUUCACAUCUGUAAUAAACCUGAGACUGAAUGGUCAGAGUACUUUAUCUCCAGACAUUGGUUCAAAUGUUAACUGAGUUACAAUACUCUGGAAAUGUGAUGAGAAAUAAUUUAUGCCAGCAAAGCAUCUUUUGGGAUAUAGCAUCUUGACCCAGUUUGUUCUUAGGUCUUUUCACAGAAGAAUUUAAUGUAAAUUAUUUACUGUUCUUCUCUUAACUCAGUGUUGCUCAACUGCUAUUUAAAGCACAACUUUACAAGAUGCUGAGUUUCCUGGUGAAGGGGAAUCACAAAAUCUGUUAUCUAUGGGGUGUACCAGUGUUUCUGCAAAUAAUCUCUGGGGCAAAUUAAUCUUCUCAUGGGCCCACAUGUGGAGUGGUACAACCAGAAGGUUGACUGAGUGCAGGACGUUGUAUUAAAAUAAAUAUUAUAGUUUCUGCCUUUGUGAAUGGCUGUAAAUGUGUUGCUCCUAGCACAGCCAUAAUUUACUCAAGACCAAAGGGCUGAAAUUACUGAAACUAUAACGCAGAGUUGCUAUGGAUUAUUUUUGACAGAGCACACUGGGCAUGGAAGUGACAGAGAACCUAGUAAGUGGCCAUUUGAGAUAAGAGAACAGUAGAUCAGGAAACAUUUUUUCAACUUUCAAGACGCAUUUUGCAUGAAAGCUGUGUUUUUUAGUGCGCAUUAAAACUCUACCACAAAUACCCAAAGGAAAAUUCUUUUCCACAGAAGGGAAAUUUUGCUCAUACUCCUAAUUGCCCUGGUAAAUACGUGUGGAACUGGAAAAAAAAAUUUUUUUUUUUUGCUCUGUUGCCCCUUCCUCCCCAGAUACUAUCCUUGCAAUUUCUUGCAAAACUGGUGAGACCACCAGGGAUACACAUGAAAGUUUCCCAACCUCUUUAAUGAUCAGCAGAGCCCUCUGCUGUUGGAUGUUGUUGUAAUGUUCCAAAAAUUGAGCACAUCUAAAUUUAAUGAAAUUAAAUAGCCUAUUUACAAAAGAGCCAUGGUUGUUUCUUACCUGCUGUUACAAGAAACAGGCAGCCAGUGACAUAAAGGAGUAAACAGAGAAAAACAGUAAAUUCCGUAGUUUGACAUGCAUCAUUCUUUUUACAAAUGAGUAUAAUUAUUGCCUUCUACUAGAAGGUGAAUCCAUUCUGCAAACAGUAUGCUCAUAAAGUAAAUAUGUAAAUUAAACAAAUAAUGAAUACACAAAAUGUUCCCAGGCUAGCCCAGAGUCAGGUGUAUUUUGAAAACUAAUGCUGAUGGAGGAUAUGUGAUGUUAUGAGGUAUUCAGUAACUUCCUUUUGUUCUUGUACUCACACUGUUCAUCUGGAAACAUACUGUACAGGGCAAAGUCUACUGUGCUGACUCAAGUUGAAUUCACAGUUGCCUCUUGAUAUAUCACAAUAUGUCAUUCAGUAAUCCCACUGAGGAAAAUGUAAUUACCAUGCAACAUCUUGUGCUGUCUUGGGGUUUCUCACUAGGUAAGUAAAAAAUAAAUUUCUGUCAGUACUGCAGGAAUACUGUUUUGGAGAUGUAGGAGCAGACCAGCUGGGUCAUAAGCCAUGAUGCUUCACUGAAAUUACUGGUCACAGGGGGUAUGUUCUUUUUUAGCUGCAGGCUGUAUGUCUUUUCUUUCCGAGUGUACAGAAACUUCCCCACUGUCCAAAUAAGCUCUUACACAAUGAGUUUAAUUCUCACAAUAUCCCUGUGAGACAGGAAUUGUAAUAGAGGAGAAACUAAGGGCCAGAGGAGUUGCUCUGCGUCCACAACAAUGCACAACGAAGUCUGAGUUCGGAAAUUGGCUUACGGUUCCACCAUGGAUCUCACCCUGAGCCUGUUGUCUUUUAUUCUAUAAUGUGACAUUUAACUACUGAUGGCACUGAUCUCCUGCUGAACGUAGAGUGAAAUCUAAGGUUUCUGCACUGCAUUCCAAGAUGCAUACUGUUCGAGCUAGCUGAAUUACUGUCUUUUCCUCUGGAAUUGCGACCUCCUCUGAUAGCUUUGCCCCACUGUUACAGUGACGUUCAAGCUUGCUGAGAGGGAAAAGAAUUAACUCCCACAUACUUCCCCAAAUUGUGGACUUAUCCUAAUUAAUUUAUUUAAAUACAAAUAUAUAAAUAAAAAAAUCACUAAUCUCUACAAAGAAUGGCAGAGACUCUCACUUGUGACUUAUAAAGCUUGUAAGUCAUGCUUAGGUGGUAAUGUAGUUGUGGACAUGAAUAAUGAAAGAAAAGACCAUAAAAUCAUAGAAUAGUUAAGCCCACCCAGUUCUACCUCCCUGCCAUAUGCAGAGCUGUUCCCAGCCCCACCAACUGCUCAGGCUGCCCAGGGCCCCAUCCAACCUGCCCGUGAGCACCACCAGGGAUGGGGCACCCACAGCUCUCUGGGCAGCCUGUGACAUAGCCUCACCACACACACGGCAAAGAAUUUCUUCCUGCAGUCUAAUCUAAAUCUCCCCUCUUUUAGUUUAAAACCAUUACCUCUUGUCCUGUUUAAAAACCAUACUGCUAUUUUAGUAGGCUGUCUUUACACUGUAUUUUUCUGAUUUAUGCUGGUAACUGUAAUCAUCUCCUUUUUGUUUACCCCGAAUUUCUGCUAGGAAUAAUUAAAAGGAAAUAAUGUGUUAAUCCUUGAGAUCUCAAUAAUAUAUACUAUUGGUGAGCUUCUGGAAAGCAAAACCAUUUCUCUUGGCAUUGCAAGCUGAAUUUCUAUGCAGGAUUCGUUUCAAAUUGCUACCGCAAUGGCACCAUAUUUGCUUCCUAUUAGUGUAAGAAUCCACAAAGCGUUUAACAAGCUGUGAAGUCUGUCAUUGCAGAUUUGGAUCCCAGCAUGUUAUUGAUGUUUUGAAAGCUUUUUUUUUUUUUUUUUUUUUUUAAAUCAGUCCUGGUGCAGUGGAUAAAAUAAAUCCUGAAUUUAUAGGUGGCUGCUAAUCCCAUGUUUCACUCCUUUCAUAGGAAGCCAGUGACAAAGCUGCACUGCCUGUGAGAUGCAAUAUAUUAUAUUUAUGUAGCCUUUGAACCUCAUCCAUAUCCUUUCCUUGGCCGGUGUAUUGGUAUUCAGAAUGAAUGGUUUACAAGCAAAUUGAUCAAAGAAAGGAUAAAUCAGCAUGGAAGAACACAGGGAAAGGUUCUCAUUCCAGGCUUGGUUAUUCUCUCACGACAAAAAGUAAUGACACAGAAAAUUAUAACAAAAUAAAGGUUUAAAACUGUUGUAACUGGAGAGCUGGAUGCUUAUACAAACUGCUGAAGAAACUGUUAAGUUGGUAAAAUGAACAUGCGCUUAAUUCUACUGGUGUGAGAAAUUUUACCCGUGAGCAGUUUCACUGAGACCAAUGGGACUAUCAGCAUCUAGUCUUCUUGGAUGAGAGCAGUCUCCUCAGUGCUGCCUAGAAGCUCCUGAGAUAUUUCAGCAUGAACGCAUCCACCUGCAGCUGUCUGGUACUUGUUUUAUUUCAGCUGUGCUUAAAAGGCUCUUCUGAUUAAAAACAUGCUGGGGAAAUAACUGCACUCUUAUUUUAAUAUGAUUAAGAUCUUGAACAAUAUUUAGACACCAUCUAUCUGUUUCAGCAUUUUAACUGCUGUCUCUUCAGUUCAUUCUAUAGAUAAUUAAAAAAAGACUCAACUGAAAUUCUUCAUCUCAGCCAAAUGGAUUGAUGAAUUUUAAUGGAGAACACUUAUUCCAGUCUUUAAUUAAGUUUGUCAGUCUGAAAUCUUCAUUUUGAAACUAGGUAUUUUAUUGUAGGCAUUUAAAACCUUACAAUUCAAUCUUGCUACAGGAUGGAUGCCUAAGUGAUAAUGGAGCUUUCUGGAAGCUGUCUUUUUGUUUUGGAUUCCAUUUUACCUGUUCAUGACCUAACCCAAACAAUCAAGCAUUUUCCCUAGCAGAAGAUGUAGCAAACCUCAGUGUGACACCGCCUUGGCCAAAACCAUCAUUGCAGUUUUGAAAGGACAUUGUCAGCCUCAAUAGGCAAGAAGUCUAAUCUACCUUCUCCAUCUCCAGCAUAAGAAAAUCUUAAUACAGAGCUAUUGCUUAGAAAAAUAAUGGAAUGCACAUCAUUAUCUGGUACUAUUCUGCUAGAUUAUUCAGUGACUGCUACUACAAAUUUCGUAGAGAACAUAUUUGCAAUAGCUUUUCCUUUGGGGUAGAAGCAAUUUCAUUUUAAUACACUUUCUGGAGUGCUGUCAGAAUUACAGAUAGUAUUUCAUGUGAGGGAAGAGGAACUCUACAAGCCCAAAUGUGCACCCUCUUUAGAUCCAGAAUUCUUUUUCUAGAAAGAAGAAAAGGAGUCUUAAAGAGUAUUCAAGUAUAAAACCUUUCUAGUAGCCAUCUUGGACUCUGUCAUCAACUGAGAAUCCUUUAGUUCUAGGUUGCUGAGAUUUCACUAUGCUUCAAAACACAGCAUACUUUAAUAUAGGGAAUGAGACAUCCUGGAGACCUCUUCCCAGCAGCUGCUGCUUGGAAUACCGCUGUCCAGAAAACACAUCAGUUGGGGGUGCUGCUGAAUGACAGAAAUCUUCAGGUUUAAUUCUGUAGUUUCAGAUGUUGUGUCAGACUACCUGGCAUCUCAGAAACAGGAACAAGUCUUUUUUAGUAGUAGUAGCUUUGGAGCAUGUUUCUGUUCCUUCCCUGAGACUGGGAAUCUUUCCACACCUCAGGGAGAAGUGAUGGUGUGACUAUUUCCUCUCCUGGCUCCACAGCUUCACUUCAAGGUGUUUCCUGAAUUGCAGUUAGAAGAGAAGGUAUGAGAAGAUCCUAGAAGAAUUUCAGAAAUCACUUCAGGCAAUAGAGUACAAAAUAAAGCUGAUUGAAAAAAAAUCACUAAGUUCUGCAGUCAUUUGAAAUGUGCCCCUUCAAUCUCCUUAUGAAGACAAAUGCUUACUUUGGGAGUUUCUGAUAUUCUCUUCUUUCCAGAAUCAGAAUAAAAAAAGCAAUGAAAAUAAGGAAAAUAAAAAUACAAACUUUUAAUUAAGCGCUCUGCUCUACCCACCUACACACUCAUUUAAAGAGACCACGGGUUUCUAUGACGACUUUGAAUUUUAUAGAGAUGUUUUUUUUUUUCUUUUUAGAGAAAUGAUAAUUACAGGAAAUGGGUCCUUUGUGUGAAUUGUUGGCAAUUCAAUUACUAGGGUCAUUUGUGACCCUGAAUGCCCUCAACAUGUUUGUGCUACCCAACUGUGGGGUUUGUGGAGGCUAACAGACCCCAGAAAAUUUUCAGAGCUCACAACAUGGCCAUGUUGUUUGAUGCAGACACGCAAAUCAUCUGGAGAAAAUAUUGUGACCUUCUGUUAUGGGAUGAGAAAAUUCACCUCAUUACAGACCUCCCAUUGCUAUAAGAUUAACUGUGGAUUUUAAGAAUGAGACCUGGAAGCAAAAGUGUUUUGGUAAAUGAUCAAGGAAAUGUGUGGUCCUUUUCUUUGCAGCUAUUUCUGACAGUUUGUUACAGUAACAGCAGCAUGUUUCAGUUCUGUUCUGUUCUAUUUGUUUGCUUAUUUAUUUAUUUAUUUAUUUAUUUAUUUAUUUUUGACUCUAGGCUCAGGAGAAACUAGAAGGCAAGAAGCAGCUUAUCAAAAAUGUUGUUAAAAUUCAACAGACUAGCAGUUUUCUAUCACUUGUAAUCUUGUGCUGCAUUCUUGGAGUGUGCUUUAAACAAAUGGGAAGGGUGAAUACUGUCUGUUGUAUUCAGAAAUGUAGGCUCUGCAUGGUAUAUAUUGUCUGCUUGCACUACAGAUGUCUCAGGACACCAUGUGGUGUCAGGUGUAAAAUCUGGAGUAAAAGCUGAAGUACAUGGGUCAGAACUGAGCUUACCAACCCUUGAGAAAAGCUAGGUAGCGAAGGUAAGCCACCUGCAGUGUCCAGAGAGAGAAGCAAUUGAGAAAACUGGAAGAACUGCCCUGUGGGCAACUGUGAUUUUAACAUCAAAAAAGAGAAUCAUAUUUUCCAUGAAGGGCAUUCAUAGCUAGUUCAUUUAAACCUUGAAGUAAGGAAACCUGUGAAGUAUUGUGCCUGUCAGGCUAAAAAAAGAAUUUGGUAUGUUGCUUGUAUUAACCUUGAAGCUGUUCUCAGUUUAGUUUGAUUUGCAACAAAAAUUAAGGUCAUAUAAUAGCUUCAGUUGGAAGGGACCACUUUCUGAGUCACGUAUACGACCUUUCUGGGUCAUACAAAGCCACAUUUAAGUUAUCACUUCAUCCUUUUUGUCUACUUGUUAAUUUUGUUGAAGAAUGACAUAGUUCUGUAUUCAAAUGAAAAACAACCCAACAAGACAUCCAAUAACAGUGACCUCGCUGCUUAACCUCAAGAUGUUGAUUUCUACAUUCAUUCCAUGUUUCACUGCUAACAUAAUUACUUACACUUGAAGCAGACAGUGGUGAAAUGAUCUGACCUUUAUACAUUAUUACUUGGCUAGUUUUUCCUUAUUUGUUGGAAAAAAUAAAAUCAGUUGCUGAACAUUCUUAUUAAUAUUCAUUUCAAGUCCUUUGCAUGUCCUUCAUGCUAUAAUGAGAAAGUACUUCUUCCUUCUGCAUUGCAGCUAGACAAGUUUUCAUAAAGAAUUGUUGAGUUUUAUGUCAUUUUUAAAAAUUAAUUUAAUCUCUAUGAAUAUUGUCUGAUGGAUGUAUUUAUAUUGAGGAUUUGCAUUUAUUAUCAUUGCAACUAACCUGAUUGCUUCUGUUGCCUACCUGGCUGAGGUGAAGAAGUUGAUUUUUUAGUUCUCCAUGUACCAAACUUGAGAUUCAAAUUUUGCUGCUGUGAAGGAAGGGAUCUAUGGAAAUGGGAUUCAUGACACCAAUUUUGAUAUGAAAUUGCCUAGAAGAGAGCUGGUUUUCUAGUCUGACAUUCAUAGCAGCCAAUAUCCUGCUUUCUCAGAUACUUAACCCAGCCAGCGAGAAGGGAUAAGAUAGCGUGUGAAACUCCAGGUAGUCAAUAAACGCAGCUUAAGAGUCCCUUAGCCUGCAAUAAGUGCCUUAACAUAACCUGCAAGGAUACGCAGAAGUCGGUCAAUAGCUGGGGUCUAGUGUACGAAUGCUGGCCUGACAGGGGUAAUGAGCAAACUUGGAGUUGUUCUAAGCCUUACUCAGCUUGAGGGCUUAAACACCAGUGCCUGGGAAGGCUGAAAUGGGGUCCUGGGCUGUGGACAGGGUUGUGGUAUAUUUCUCUUGAAUAUUACUCUAGUCUUCUCUUGAUUUCUCUUUAUUAAUAAAAGACACUUUUUUAUUCUGAACUAAAUAAUAAUGGGAAUUUACUAAAAUAAAGUAACAUGUGUAUAUACAUAAUAGUCUAAAAAUAUACAGCAAAAAUUGAAAAGUUGAAAUUACCUUGAGAACUGGGGCAGUUAAUAUAAGCAGUUGUGCUGGGUAUUAAUGAAGAAAUUUCUGGAAGCUGUUAUGCAUUUUGUUGUAAAUGCACCAUAAUGCAUUUGCUGCAGUGGUGGUGUUCUGUGAUGCAAAAUUACUGUGAGAAAAAAAAAAAUCAAAGAAAGAAUCCUUCCAAAGUGUUAUUUGUUUGCUUAUGAUUGUUUUGUAUAUCCUGAACCAAAACAGAGUUUCUGUAAGAUUCAGUAGGUAACUACUGAGGGAGAAGUACCUUCUGUCAUUUACAGGUUCAGCCCUCAAGUAAUAGGAAACACUUCUAUUUUUCCAAGCCCUGUCGGCAUCUAUGUGCUUGACUUUCAUCUGUAGGCAAAUUUGAAAAUAUGUGCCUAUAUUCAUAUGCAUAUAUUGACAAGUUAGUCUUGUGUGAUAGUCCCAGAUCUUGGAAUUAAGCACAACCAACUAAAGCUGAAUGCUAAUUAAUAUCAAGGGGAGUUUUGUUUCCUGAAUGUAGUAAUCAAUUAUGAUUUUAUAAAAUAAAGUCAUUCAGCUAUGAAGCCUGACCCAGUUGCUCAAAGUUUGAUCCAGCUGGCUCUUACAGGCCACCAACGAUGUAAACUACAACCUCCCUGAGCAUCCAGCUUGUCUUCUGGCCUGUCCUCACAGAAUAAAAAACAUUCCUUUCCUUACAUCCAACUCUGAUCCUCUUCGGUUUCACUUUGCAUCUGCUGUCACACCACAUACCUCUGUGAAAUGUCUGGCUCUGUAUUCUCCAUAACCUCUUCACAGAUCCUGGGAAUGCACCCUCAGAGCAAUCUCUUUCCAGUAAGAACAACCCUAGGUCCUACAGCAAGCAUCCCAGCUUGGUGGCUCUCCACUGAACUACCUUCGGUUCUGCAUCACAUAACUGGGUUGGACCCAGAACCAGAUGCAGUACUUAAAUGGAGUCUAGUGAGCACCAAGAAGAGAUAAUCAGUUCCCUUGACCUACUAUCUAUGCUUUGUUCACAGAGCCCUGGAUGCCAACAGGCUUUUAUUCUGAAUGGAACCAUAACCCUCUGCUUCACAUUGUACAUGACAUUUGCUCAAAGACUGCUUGUUAAUUUGGCUUUGUUCUGAUGUUCAUUCUGGAUGCCUGAUGAUCACAGGAUGUUCUGAAACACACUGUAUUUCAUUUCUGUAUAUACUGAUUUCUGUCUUUUUUGAAGUGAAUUAUGUUGUGGCGUUGGUGAUAAACAGUAAACAUAGCAAACUUGUGAAGAUCUCAAAAGAAGUAAAGCACAUCAACACUGCUAUGUGGGAAAUGACUCUGUGAAAGUUCAAACUGAAAAAGCACGCAGCCUUCCAGAAUGAUCCAUGUUGAAGAUAAAGAUGACCCUUGCUAUAGAUCACAGUGUCACAGGAGUUUAUUUUUCAGUUUUCCACACUUGCAGAACUGUUAACUACCCAAAUUGAACAAAGUAUGGUGAUCUGAAUGCACUAAAGUAUUUGAGCCUUCAGACUGAUUAUAAACUUCCGAAGUAGCGUAUGUGGCACGUCAGAAAGUGGAUUGAUCUUGAAUUUCAUUUACAAUGUAAACUAGUGAUUCAACAGUAGGUCUGGCAGCAGCCCUGAAGCACUACAUUGCUCCCAGGAAAAGUGAGGUAAAUGUAGUAGAAAAGGGUGUCUGACAACGUGAGCAGUGGAGCUUUAGUGCUGUGAGCAACAUUUUGUUCCUCAAAUCUAUCACAGUGAUGGGGUCAUGAUACGGUUUCACUCCGUGCCACAAACAGAACUUCCUCAUUCAGCAUAAGUCAAGGUAUCAAAAAUGUACCAGAAGAUAAAUCCUGUUUCUUGGUCCAGUUUCUUACAUAUAAUCAUAAAGGCAGGAAAGAUAAAAGAAUAUGAGAGGGUGGUAUCACAUGAAAUGAAUGGAAAAAAAAACUGACGUAGUUGGCUUAUUGAAUUAUCAGUUUCUCAAAAGGAUGCAAAAAUGAGUGGUUUAAACUAAAUUAUUUCCAGGCCAUACGUUUUCCAACAGGUAUGUUGACAGUAUAUGAGACAGGCUUUUUAAGGAGAAAGCAUGGGGAGAAUAUUGGGUCUGGAGAUGGUAAAGAAUUAUAUCUCUCAUGUCAAAGACAUGAGCAUAUCUUUUCUUGAUUUUUUUCCCUCUUCUUGCUCGGAAAUGAAACCUGCAAUCUGGUAUCACAAAACCAAUGUCAAAUCAGUAUGGUAGGUUAAGAACAGAGUUCCCCAAAAUGAACUAAUGGGAGUAUUUUUUGCAUCUCUCUCAACGGCUCUAUAAAAGGUUAUUUUUCAAGUGCAGUGGUUUUCAAAGGACAUAAAGCUACUUUUUCACUAUGAUAAAGGUUUGACCACCUACUCAGUAGAAAAAAUAUUUUAGAGAGAAAAUAUGUGUUUUCUCUCUAAAUAUAUAUAUUCUGUAAAUGAUUUAUCUCUCUCUAAAUUAUAUAUAAUAUAUAUCAUGUAUUGUAUGUGCUAGUAGUAUCCAGCUACUCCUCAAGUAUUUUCUAGUAGAUAGAGCAAUAUGACAUUUGGUUUGCUUGCUUGCCCUGGAUCUUGAAGGUAGUUACUGUGAAUUGUGCCACCUAUGUUCAUUCUUGCUGUGCAAUCAGCAUCUCUUGUUAAUAGUGUAAAGGUAUAGUGAUAAAACAGACAAUUAACAUCACAGAAACUUAAUAGAUUCAGUAAUAGCAGGGUUCUUAACGAAAUCACUAUAUUCAUGUAAAUGUCUAGCAUACUUCUAAAAGAACUCUGUCAUGGAUGAAAAUUAGAUGAACUGUCAUUAACUGAAACAAAGUGAAGGAUCGCUUUGUACCUUUGGAAGCAAAUGCUUUGUAAAUUCCAAUUGUUGUAGCAAGGAUGGGAAAAUCUGAUGGAAAGAGAUUAAAACUUAUGGUAUAUUUGGAAAUAUGUAGGUUUUGAAAAGAACAUUGGUCAUUAGGACUUUUACAUCCUACUUUUCCUGCUUGUUUCAUGUAUGACAAGUUCUUCAGCUUUUUAUCUACAAAAAUCAAUAUAUUACUGUGUAUCUGAUGCCAAACAGAGGAGUUAUGAGAAUGACUGCUUCAAUUAAUCUUUCUGUGUAAGUUUCUAUGGCAUUAUUGUACUACAAAACAGCUAUAAAACAAUGCAGCUUGAAGAGGUCAGCAGAUGAAGACUGUAAUUUCGAGGAUUCACAAGAAUACCUAUACAACUUUUUAUUAAUUCUGUAAAAUAUCUCAUAAUAAUUUAGCAUAUUUGGAGAGGAUGCUACAGGUAGACAAGCUGCUUGAUUGAACAGUUGUUACUAUUGGUUUUCACAGAAGUCACAAUAGUUCUGUUGUCUGUAUUUCAACUUUUUACCCAAUGACUAGAUUUACUCAGACGUACAAAUCUGCCUGUUGACUUGGCAGACAGCCUACAGCCAUGACAAAUUCUCAUCUAAUUCACUGAAGAGGUACAGAGAUAAAGUAAAAAUCUUUACUCUUAUCUAAGCACUGGAACUGGAAUAGGAAGUUUAACCAUGCCAGUGAGUACCAGGAUUUGGAACAGCUGCCUCUGACACUCUGAAAAUUAGGUUUUACAUGACUGAGGAGAGCCCAGGCAUGAGACAACUUCCCCUGCUACUCCUACAUGAGACUGAUUGAACAGAAUGGUCUUUUGGCUAUACCUAGGAAUGGUUGCUUCCUUCCACUGGGAGAGAUGUGGCAUUUUGUGUAAUGAAAAUGUCUUGAUUUUUUUGAUCCACCUUAGUCAAGCUGCCCCUCGUAGCAAGUCAAAGAAUACAUCCAGCAUACAACUUUCCAUAAUUAAAAACCAAAUUACACUUUCCCAGGGGCUGUGCAAGGGUUGGAAGGGAGAAGAGAGGUGCAUGUUGGAUCCUUCAGAACUAAGCAGAAGUGCUGUGAGCCAGCAAUUGCUAUGAAAUUAUUACCCCUUCAUGCUGCUACUGGAAACUGUCACAUCUACUCUCCUUUGAAUUAACAGGAUUUCAGGUGUUGACGAUUGACUUUUCUGAGCAGGUAUUUUGGUGAUGGUGUUGGCAGUGUUUGGUUUUCCCAGGGUACACCAUUUUGCAGAAGCAGUGAUUCUGUUACAGGAUGGGAGAAACAGUUUGGAGUUUGUUUGUUCUUUGACUGUUCAGACCUAAAGAAAAUCAGCUCCCUACUGCUUCAUCUGCACCAUCCCUAACAGGUCCUCCCCCAGAGUACAAAGUAGCAACAGGAACUCUGAGAGCUGAUACAUCUAUCAUGCUCCCUUUAUGCUCUGCAAAGUCAGGUUUGCUUCCUGCAAAGUGACCAGACUCCUCCCUCCAGGUUCUGUUAGGUGUAUCAGCAAAUCUAGCAGUUACAAAUAGGAACCCUGUAUGCAGAGCGAACAAUGGAAACAGCUAAACAUGAAGAGAAAAACUCUCUCUCUUCAGCACUUUUGUGUGACAACUGUUAACUUCAAAAUAUGAAGCAAACACAUGAGAAAAUUACUUUGAACGGGCAUAUAUUACUUCA